AUUGAACGCUGGCGGCAGGCUUCACACAUGCAAGUCGAACGAGUGGCGGACGGGUUAGUAAUGUCUGGGAAACUGCCUGAUGGAGGGGGAUAACUCCUGGAAACGGUAGCUAAUACCGCAUACCAUCAGAUGUGCCCAGAUGGGAUUAGCUUUUUGGUGGGGUAACGGCUCACCUAGGCGAAGAUCCCUAGCUGGUCUGAGAGGAUGACCAGCAAAACUGGAACUGAGAAACGGUCCAGACGCCGACGGGAGGCAGCAGUGGGGAAUAUUGCACAAGGGGAGCAAGCCUGAUGCAGCCAUGCCGCGUGUAUGAAGAAGGCCUUCGGGUUGUAAAGUACGUUCAGCGAGGAGGCGUUACCCGCAGAAGAAGCACCGGCUAACUCCGUGCCAGCAGCCGCGGUAAUAC
rnacentral:rRNA from 1 species